rnacentral:lncRNA from 1 species
UGAAUUUACAUUUUUUCUAUACAUCUAUUUUGGUGUCUGUCGAUCAACUCUUUUUAACUUUUUUAUUAAAUAAUUUUAGACCUACAGAUUUUCUAUAAACACUUAUUCUAGCUUUACUCAUGUUAAAAUUAAUCACAGUAUGAAUAUUAAUACAUCCCGGGAGGCAGAGACAGCAGUGAGCCAAGAUCGUGCCAUUGCACUCCAGCCUGGCGGUGGAGGGAGACUCCGUCUCAAAGAAAAGAAAAAAAAGAAAAGAGAUGAUGGAUCUAUGCUGACUUGCCAGAUAUUUGGCUUAAGAAUCUCAAAAUCUGCAAAACGGCUCAGCUCUUGGACAUCACUAAGAAGAAGGAGAAUGUCUAAACAUGAUUCUGGAAGAUCUUUAAAGGAAAGAGGAAAGCGAAUUUGAUUAUUAAUGACAUCCUAAUGAGUUUGGAGCCAUCCUUUCUAAACAUGAAGUGAAAGUCUUCAGGGUAAGCUUUCUCUGAGUAUUAGUGAGCCUUCCAUGUGGAGUGAUAAUAAAACUCUGACAUUCCAUCCAAUGUGAUUUCAUAUGUAGUAGUGGAAACUGAGGCCAGGAAUAGGGAAAUGGUUUAGACUAACCAUUGCACAUGGAAAGGUAAUCUAGUCCCAUGUUCUCUUUCUGAGUAUUUUUAAGUGUAUAUAUUUAUUUUGAAGAAUAACAAGCAAU